CUGCUUGUGGCAUAUCAUGUAGGAUUGAACGUUUUUGUUUCUUUAUCUGUACCUAUCCCAGGUGUUGGAUGUCUGUAUCACAUGCUAGACUAAUGAGUUUAAUGGGCCACUAGUCUUCUAGUACAGGCUGAGUGGUAGUGUCAUCCUCCUACAUUC